GACAGAGGGUGCAAACGUUGUUCGGAAUUACUGGGCGUAAAGCGUGCGCAGGCGGCUUUGCAAGACAGAUGUGAAAUCCCCGGGCUUAACCUGGGAAUGGCAUUUGGGACUGCAAGGCUCGAGUGCGGCAGAGGAGACUGGAAUUCCUGGUGUAGCAGUGAAAUGCGUAGAUAUCAGGAGGAACACCGAUGGCGAAGGCAGGUCUCUGGGCUGACACUGACGCUCAUGCACGAAAGCGUGGGGAGCAAACAGG
rnacentral:rRNA from 1 species